GAUCCUGGUUCAGGAUGAACGCUAGCUACAGGCUUAACACAUGCAAGUCGAGGGGCAGCAUCAUCAAAGCUUGCUUUGAUGGAUGGCGACCGGCGCACGGGUGAGUAACACGUAUCCAACCUGCCGACAACACUGGGAUAGCCUUUCGAAAGAAAGAUUAAUACCGGAUGGCAUAGUUUUCCCGCAUGGGAUAAUUAUUAAAGAAUUUCGGUUGUCGAUGGGGAUGCGUUCCAUUAGGCAG
rnacentral:rRNA from 1 species